UAAGCGCUCGUCCGUGUCUCUUCUUCUUGUGUCGUCUGUUUGGCGCUAUAGUACUUCAGCCAUUUAAUGAUGCUCUCUCCACACUCGGAUAAAUAAAAACAAACACAUCACAUCUAAUGUGGACAUAUCAGAUGCCUUGUGAAACACUAAAGGAACAAUUCAGUUUCGAGCUAUGGCACUUGCCGCAUAGAUGUGGGGGGGCCUUGCACCAAUAGUGAUAGUUACCACUGCAUUUAGAAAUUGAAAGCAUUCGUGCAGACAAGGAUGAUUCUUUAUAUUUUUGGCUACCACUUCAAAUGCCUCCACCAAGUGUUACAAUGCUGCAUGCAGCCAUACUAAGGAUCUCGCAACAACACCUGCAGGUAAAAAGCAGAAGCAGUCAAAGUGCUGGUGUGUUCUGGACACUAUGUUUGAAAACUUCUAGGCAAGAAGAGUGCAAGAAGCAGACAUAACUGCAUUUAUUUCCAUAAUUCCCCAUUUAAAUGGCCUUUUCUUUUUGCUUAGACAAUGCCUACGCCUAGCCACAGCAGCUCCCUCAUACAGACUCCACAAACCAAGAGGCCGUGGAGGCAAAUGCAGGCAGCCAGCACACCUCGAACAGCCACCUUGACUGCAGGUGUGUCACCCUAGUCGCCAAGGAAACAUUUGAGGGAAAGUGACAGGCAAUGUGAACAGCCACUUCUCCAUGUAAACAAUACUCUUUCUCUCGGAUGACUCCUACGCCUCACCACGCCAGCACACUUGUGCACAAAGAUGCCGCAGAGGCACGUGCAGGUCAGAGGCAAGAAGCAGUGGCACUGGUGUCGACAUUUACCCAAUUUCUUUUUCUUACACUGAGGCAGCCAGCACACCUCGAACAGCCACCUUGACUGCGGGUGUGUUAGUUGAUUCCUGUUGUACAUAUGCUCAUAAUAAACUUCAGUAAACUUGAACUUCAUAAUAAACUUGAAGGCAAAUGGGA